GGCUGUGGUUUUGGUCCCCAGGAUUGGUACCAAAUUUGAAGAAACCAACAGGAGGCUCACCCAAUGGGGUUCUGUGAAGCAUCAGAAGAGAGAAAUACACACGAUUGUUGUGUAGCCAGGCUGGGUCACCCUCUCGCUCAGGUGCUGCAUGAUUCGAAGCAGGAGACGUUUCCCCCAGGCUGCAUCCUGAUUGGGGUCAUUGGAGACAAUGGGGUCAUUGGGGUCUAUGGGGACAUUGGAGUCAAUGGGGUCACUGGGGUCAAUGGGGGUCAAUGGGGUCAGUGGGGCCAUCUCGGCAAGGGCAGAAUAGCGCUGUUCUUGGGCCGCAGCACUCCAUGGCCAGGCGCUGCUCAGACGCUGGGGCUGCAUUUCCUCCUGGGCACCCACACAUGCUGCGAUUCCCCUGCAGGUUCCUGCCGGGUUUGUGGCUUCCUGCUGGGGAACUCCUCAUCUUCUUCUGCAACUGCCCCCCAACGUCACUACUGCCUCCUCUGGUGCCGUACUGGCAGAUGCCUCAGCGUUCAUGAGCCUGGACUUCCUGCCUCCCAUCAGCAGCUGCUCCUUCAUUCAUACUGCAAUACCGUCCACUUCCAGCACCAGCAGAGCUGCAAGGCAGAGAUGGGAAACGUGGGAUUAAUGCAAACGCAGAAGCCCAAGGCUGUCCCACCACCACGUAUUGCAGCCUUGGAAGGUCAGCUGCAACUACAACCUCUGUCAGAAUCAAAACAGGCACCGUACAUUAAGGGUGACCUCUGAACUGAAGGAAUUACCACAGUCUGGAAAUAAAUACUGAAAUUGCUCAUUUAUCUGUAGGUGGUUACCGCUGUAUUCUUUGGCUUUUGGGAAAAUGUGGACUUGGAAUUGAAGGAUACAAGGAAAAGGAGCAGCACUUGGCAACUCCUGCAAACUGAGCAGUGCGGGGAAGAUUGUGUCAUUUCUUCUCCGGGCCCACAAAUUAAGUUUCCUUCCUUACAAAGAGAAGGGAAAAAGAGCCUGACAUAAAGGAGGACACAGUGCAGUCUCACCUCACACGUAGAAGAAGGAGAGCUCUCAUGGCACUAAUCAUAGAAUCACAGGAAUCAUAGGAUGGCCUGGGUUGAAAAGGACCGUCAAAGGUCAUUGAGUUCCAACCCCCAGCUAUGUGCAGGGUCGCCAACCACCAGACCAGGCUGCCCAGGAGCCACAUCCUUGGCCCUGAAUGCCUCCAUGGAUGAGGCAUCCACAACCUCCCUGGGCAACCUCUUCCAGCUGCGUCAGCACCCUCUGAGUGUAAAACUUCCUCCUAGUAGCUAAUGUAAAUUCUCCCAGUCUCCAUUGAAAAGCAUUCCUCCUUAUCCUAUCACUAUCCACCCUCAUAAACAGCCGGUCCCCCUCCUGGUUAGAUGCUCCCUUCAGGUACUGAAAGGCCACAAUGGGGUCUCCCCAGAGCCUUCUCUUCUCCAGGCUAAACAAGACCAGUUCCCUCAACCUUUCCUCACAGGAGAGGUGCUCCAGCCCUCUGGCCAUCUUAGUGGCCCUCCCCUGGACCCGCUCCAACAGCUCCACGUCCUUCCUGUGCUGGGGACCCCAGGCCUGGACGCAGUACUGCAGAUGGGAUCGAGUAGAGGGGCACAAUCACUCCCUCUCCCUGCUGGCCACCGCUUUUUGAAUGCAGCCCAGCACACAGUUGGCCUUCCGGGCUGCAAGCACACACUGCUGGCUCACGUGCAGCUUCUCGCCCACCAGGACCCCCAAGUCCUUCUCCGCGGGGCUGCUCUCAGAGAGAUCUUCCCCCACUCUGUAUAAAUACCUGGGAUUGCCCCGACCCAAUGCAGCACCCUGCGCUUGGCCUUGCUGAACCUCAUCAAGUUCUCGUGGGCCCACUUCUCCAGCCUGCCCAGGUCCCUCGGGAUGGCUUCCCUUCCCUCCAACGUAGCGACUGCACCGCUCAGCUUGGUGUCAUCCGCAAACUUGCUGAGGGUGCACUCGAUGCCAUCGUCUGUCACUGAUGGAGAUGCUGAAGAGCACCGGUGCCAAGACCGACCCCCGAGGGACACCGCUUGGGACCGGCCCCCACCCUGGCACAGACCCACUGAUCACAACCCUUUGGCUGCGUCCAGCCAGCCAGUUCCUAAUCCACUCAACAGGCAAUCCUUCACAUCCACACCUCUCCAGUGUAGAGUGCGGAAUGUGGUGAGGGACCAUGGCAAAGGCCUUGCAGCAGUCCAGGUAGAUGACAUCCACCGCCCCUCCCCCGUCCACUGAAGCCGUCACUCCAUCACAGAAGGCCACCGGAUCGGCCAGGCACGAUCUGCCCUUGGUGAAGCCAUGCUGGCUGUCUCGGAUCACCUCUUUGUCUCGGAUGUGCCUUAACACAGCUUCUAGGAGGAUCUGCUCCAGGACCUUCCCAGGCACAGAGCUGCGGCUCACCGACCCGUAGUUCCCCGGGUCCUCCUUUCUCCCGUCCUUACAAAUGGGAGCACUGUUUCCCUUUCUGCUUUUCCAGUCACCGGGAACUUCCCCAGUCAGCCGGGACUUUUCCGAUGCAACGGAGAGCGGCUCGGCACCACAUCAGCCAUCUCGCAGAAGCCUGGGAUGGAUAUCAUCCGGCCCCACGGACUUACAUACAUUCAGUUCCCCGCGGAGGACUCAGACUUCUUCCGCCGUUACAGUGGGACGGAAUGCGCUCCUCUCACCCACACCGAGGGCUUCAGGGUCCCGGCAGGCACGGGAAGCCCGACCACCUGCAAAGACCGAGGCAAAGCUCUCACUGAGCACCUCAGCCUUUGCCAUGGCUGCCCACUGCCUUUCAUCCGAGGGAGCGCUCUCCUCGGCCCGUCUCCUCCUGCCUGUGGAGCUGCAGAUGAGGCUGCACGCGUCAUUGCGCGUGCACUGCUGUGCAACGGGAUGGGGUUGCAUGUGUGUGCGUGCAUGUGGUUGCACGCAGGGAUGGGGCCACACACGCGUGUGUGCUGUGGGCAAACAAACCGCUGUGGUGCUUCAGGGAGAGCCUCACCGCCUUUUUGCUGCUCCCGGCAGCGCCUCGCCGCCAUACUUUGCUUCUUGGAACCGCUUCCUGUCGCUGCCGCUGCUUUGAGGGUGUCCGCUCUGCUCCCAGCUCGGUGCAGGCCCGUGCCGGCCUCUCAUUGGUCAGCAGAGGCUCCAUCCCGCCCUUGCUGGCCUCUCAUUGGUCAGAAGCAGCUCUGACCCACCCCGGUGGCCUCUAAUUGGUGAUCGGCAGUUCCAUCCCGCCACUGCUGGCUCUCAUUGGUCAGCAGCAGCUCUAAGCCACCCCCGGUGGCCUCUCAUUGGUCAGCGGCAGCUCCAUCCCGCCCCUGCUGGCCUCUCAUUGGUCAACGGCAUUUCUGGCCCGCCCCUGGCCUCUGAUUGGUGAGCGGCAGCGCCGCCAGCUCCAAUUCGGCUGAGGGGCAGAGCGCGCCGUUGGCAACCGGCUUGGAAUCGCCCAGCUGUCCCCUCAGACGGCAGCCCGUGGCCGUCCCCUUCGCCGUGGGAUGCGGGGAUUUGGGGCGGCUGAAGGAGUCGGGGCCCCCACCGCUGUAGCGCUGCUGCCCCCAUUAGGGCCUGGAACCCCGAGCCUCCAGCUCUGCUCGCGGUGCCCCCCAAGGCUGAGGUGGUCUGUGGGUGGAGGGGCAGUGGGGGAGAUGUGGUGGGGAUGUGGGAGCUGAGGGGCUUUGGGGGCUAUUGGGGGAUGUGGGAGGAUAUGGGGCUGUAGGGUGCUGUGUGGGGAUCUCGAGGGAUAUGGGGAUAUUGGUGGGUUUUGGGAAUAGAGGGGGAUGGAGGGAUGUGGGGCCCACAGGGGGUGCUAUAGAGGGAUGUAGGGCUGUGCGUGGGUUGUAGGAGGAGAUGGGGCUGUAGGGGGCUGUGUUGGGAAUCCAGGGAGGGUGUGAGGGGCCAUGGGGAGGCCAGAGGGAGAAAUGGGACUGUAUGGGGUAUAGGGUAGGGCUUUGGGGCGACAGGGGGCUGUAGUGGGUUAUAGGGGUGGAUAUUGGGGGAUAUGGGGCUGUAGUGUUCUGUGGGGGCUAUCGGGAGGGAUUGUGGGGCUAUCUGGGGCUUCAGUGGGGGCCGUAGAGGGGAUAUAGGGCUUUGCGGGGGUUGUUGGAAAAUAUGAGGCUAGGGUGGCUGUAUGGGUGUGUGGGGCUUUAAGGAGCUUAAUUGUGUCUCUAGGGGGGCUAUGGGGCUCUGGAAAGCUGUGGGGGACUGUAGAAGGGGUAUUGGGGUAUAUGGGAAAAGAGGGGGAUGCGGUUGGAAUCUAGGGAUCUGUGGGCAGCUAUUGGGGGAUAUGGGGCUCUAGGGUGCUGCAGAGUCUUUAGGGAGUGUUUUAGGGCUAUAUGGGGGAUAUAGGGGGAUUUGGUUCUCUAGGGGGCUGUGGGGGUAUAGGGGUGAUAUGGGUCUGUAGGGGGCUUUGGGAGGAGCUCCACGGUUCUAUGAGGGGUCUGUAAGGGCUAUAGGUGUGUUCGAGGGGGAUAUGUGGCUUUAGGGGUUUGUGGCAACAUGUGGGAGGGUUGAGGGUGCUAGGGGUUGGGGGGGGCUCUAGGGCAGGAUGUUGUGCUGUAGGAGAUUGUGGGGGCCUGAGGGAGGAUAUAGGGUGUCUGUGGGGAUAUAGGGGAGAUAUGGAGUCUAGAAGGGUUCUAGGGGGAUAUGAGGCUGGAUAUGGGAGAGUGUGGGGGGCUCUGGAGGGAGUCUAGGGCCAGUGUGGGUCUGUGGGGAGCUAUAAGGGGAGAUUGGGCUUUAGGGGCUGGGGGACUGUAGGGAGGGUCUUAGGGCUGUAGAGGGGACAUGGGGUGCUAUGUGGCUGUAGGGAGCAGGGGAAUAUUAUGACGCUGUAGGGGGCUAUUGGGAAAGCUAUAUGGUUCUAUGGGGAGGCUAUAGGAGCUUUAUAGGUGGUUAUGGGGCUUUAGGGAGCUGUGGGUGGUCUGUAGGAGGGUUCUAGUAGGGUAGGAGGCUAUAGGGGGCUGUGGAGGGGAUAUAGGGAGAUAUGGGGCAGUAGUGAAUUUUUAGGGGGUUGUGGCGGGCUGUAGAGUGUAUAGGAUGAUAGGGGGCCAGGGGGGGUCUGUAGAGAGGGAUGUUAUGCUGGAGAAGGUAUGGGAGGCUAAAAUGGGCCUUUGGGGGUUACAGAGGGGCUGUGGUGGGCUAUUUGGGGAUAUAGGGAGAUAUAAGGCUAUAGGGGGUGUUUGGAGGAUGUGGUCCUCUAAGGGGCUGUGUGGGUCCAUAGGAUGAUCUGGAGCUAUAGGGUGAUCUCUAAAGGGAUGUGGGGCUAGAAGGCUCUCCCUUCCUUCCUUUCCCCCCUUCCACAGCAGGGAGGGUGAAAUGCUAGUCAUGAAAUUGAAACUGGAACUGAAGUUGUCUUGGAAUAGAAUAUGAUGCUUUUGUGGUCUUCAAUCUGAAACGUGUUUUCUCCUUGGGCUUUAGGUAAUCUGUUUAUGUUUAAUGAUUAUGGUUAAUAAUCUAAUCAUGUUUCAUAAUGCCUUUUGAAAAGGUUUCAGUCUGCAGUCUGCUGAUCCGAAAGAAAGAAGGCGGCUUUUGGAGGACUUAAUCAUCGCGAGUCGAGCUGCUGCUGAACCUCCCCUUCCAACAUCCAGCAGGUGAGGACGCUGUGCAUCUCAGCCCUCCCUCCCUGCACGGUAGCAGCGAUUCUAAUCAAACCUCUGAACUCCCAGGUUUGUUCUGCAGGCCCCGAUGAUGGCACAGGCAUGAAAGAGCCCAGAGCUCGUCGCUGGGGAGAGGCUGCGUAUGGCGUUGUGAAGGGAGAGAUGGAGGAGGGGUUUGAGCAGCGCUGUGCAGGAAUGAACGGCUGGUAAGAGAAGAGGUGUGUGUGCUGAGAGCAAGGGCUGUACGGCUCCUCUCUGUGUUCUCACAGGAAGUGCACGGCAGAGCUCCUUGCUCUCUGUUCUUUCUUGCAAGGCUGCGGCGCUUCAAAGUGCGCUGUGGGUGGGCAGCGCGAUGACAGCCCAAGGGUGGCACCAGGAGAUGCAGCGCAGCCCUCUGCAGCAGCAGGGUGCAUUGAUUGGUCUUGCUCAUUCUUGAAGGAGAAGGUGUGUUUAGCUGCCAACUUUGGUGGCUCCAUAGCAUGUGCUGAAGGCUUUGGGGCCCUUCCUGUGUUCCUCACGUCCUGAGGCAGUGAAGGACUUCCCUUGCUCUGUAGGAAUGGUUCCUGUGCAAGGGCAUGGUCGUCUGCCUGUAGCAGAUACUGAAGGUUGUGGUUUUGUGACUGCAGUGAUGGAGUUGGCUUUAGAAUGGCAAUUGCACUCUGCUCACGUGCAGCUCUUUCUGACACAGGCAGGAGUCGGGCAGCGGUACUGCAGCUCCUCUGGCAGCUUUGCAGCUCAGUUGGGAAGCAGAAGAUGUGGAUGUGAAAGAAGAAGUCCGUUGCUGGGACGUUCCCCUGUUCUUCCCCCAGCUGUCCCCUUGCUUUCCACAAGGCUGCCCUUUCCUUUCUCAUGACAGCCCACCCAUCAUUCCCUCAGAGCCCAUAUAUCCCUCCCAGUGUUUCCCAGCAAGACCCCUAGAGACACCCUGUAGCCCCCCACAGAGCCCUGGAGCCCCUCAAGGACCCCCUCAGACGCAGUACACCUCCCCCAUAGCUGGCCCAUAGCCACAUGGAGCCCCACAGUCCCCAGCAGCACCCCAUGUCCCCCACUGGGCUUCCACGGAAUCCUUCUAUUUCCUCCCUCAGACCUCCUUUACACCUCCAAGAUCCUCCCUGGGAACUCACUAACCCCCAUGUUCCCUGACAGGACCCCCAUCACCAUCCCAGGACCCCCAUAGCCCACCUUUGGCCUCUCCUCCCCCCGACCUGCCUCCAGAUCCCGUACAACCUCACAGUGCUGUGGCAGGGCUGGCUUCUGCAGGUGAGGAAUGAGGAGCUGGAGAAGGUGUAGGGCACAGAUGUGGGUGAAAGUGAAGUGGGCGGCACUGGGGAUACUGGGGAACACGGAUCAGAACAUGGGAGGAUUUGGGGAGGAUAAGGGGAUGUGGACCACAGCCUACAGGAGCAGAGUGCUUCACAGGAGAAGGCAAGGUGUGAGGUACAGGUGGGAAUUGUGGGUGCAGAGACAUGGCGUGGCAUGGGUAUGUGGGGGGUCUGGGGGCUCGUGGGGAGCGGUUUGGGGUCAGAAUGGGGGAUGUGGAGUGGUGUUGGAGUGCAUUCAUUGAUUUCUUCCUGAGAGGGGAUUGGGGUUCCCUGUGUCCCAAAGGUGGUAGCCCUGAUCCAUAACGCCACAUGAGCCCAGAACCCCAUAGAACUCCGCGUGACCCAGAGGCUCCACAUGUCCCAUAACCCUGUGAGCACCGUAAGCCCAUAUGAGGCUGUGGGCAGGGAUGGGUCUGUUCCUGGCUUGUUCAGGGGGUACUAUAAGGUGGUUCUGGGGCCGCUGUAGGUCAGCAGCCUGAAUAUUCCCCUGACGCUCAUCUUGCCCUCAUCUUGCGGGACAAGAUGGAGGUCGAGGGGUUAGCUGGGGGCUAUGGAAGAUGCUCCAUGAGUGUAUCCCAUAGCUGCCCAUAGCAGCCCCAGAGCCAUCCUAGAGCAGCCCCAGAGUAGCCCCAUCACUGCCCGCAGCCCAUGGCCAGCAGCAGUGUGUUGGGUAAAGGCAGAUCCCAGGUGUGGCUCUGCUGCAAGGCUGCCUCAAAGUUCUCCUGAAGCCCUCCCAUAGGCGUCCUUUAUCUGCCCCACAACCCCAUGAGGCUUCCUUACAUGUCAGCACAUCUCCCCCGGUGCCUCUGGGGUGUGCGAGAAACACUCGCAUCCCUCAUGUUUUACCAAGCACAGCUCUCAGUGCAGCAGCAAUGCUCAUUCCUUAUUACUCAUUCCUUAUUACUAUGGCGUUACUGCACUCUCCUCUGUGAGCUCCUUCUGCUCCUGUAGCUCUCCUCCCAUGGCACCCACUGCUCUCCUGUUCCCCCUUGGCUGGGCACUGCAGGCUCACAGUCUCCACCACGCAUCCGCUGUGCAGUUUUUCCAGAGGAGGUCUAUGGCCAACGUGUUCCUUUCGGGCUGAUUGUGUGCUUUUCUAUGCAGACAGGCAGGCAGGAUUUCUUGCAGCUGUUGCACGUGCUGGGUCUCAUGCUCCGUCCUGCAGCUGUGCCUUAUCUCGUGUGCACUCUCCACCUCCCCCUGGUCAGAACGUCCUGGCCCUGCUGUGCUCUGCUCAGCAUCUGUCUGCUGCACAAUGACACAGCUGUCACACUGAGCCUGCCUUGUGCUAUCCCUGCAGAUGUUGGAUGAUUUCCUCUGCCACUCUCCCACCCGUAACCGCUCGGGUGCUUUCCAGCAGCACACAGCUGGCACACAGAGCCAUGCUGACCACGGCAGGGUGCAGCUCCUUGUUGCAGUCCCGUAGCGGUGGGUGGCCGUGCCAAAGGGGGAUCCCACCGCUGCUGCUCUCCAUCC
ensembl:lncRNA